rnacentral:rRNA from 1 species
UACGAAGGGGGCUAGCGUUGCUCGGAAUUACUGGGCGUAAAGGGCGCGUAGGCGGACAGUUUAGUCAGAGGUGAAAGCCCAGGGCUCAACCUUGGAAUUGCCUUUGAUACUGGCUGUCUUGAGUUCGGGAGAGGUGAGUGGAAUGCCGAGUGUAGAGGUGAAAUUCGUAGAUAUUCGGCGGAACACCAGUGGCGGAGGCGACUCACUGGCCCGAUACUGACGCUGAGGCGCGAAAGCGUGGGGAGCAAACAGG